AGGAGACAUUUCACUUGUUAAAUCAUACACUCCUUUCUCCAGAUUGAGGUAUCAAGGUUUAGUAUCACAGAGAACAAUGAACUUCGUCCAGCUAUUGUUGCUUCUUGUUCUGGUUAUACUGACCGUCUACGUCAUGGGAUCAGAUGCCUCCCCCUGGAGAUGGUACAGGAAAUGGUCUGAUUCCAGUAGCGGCGGUUCCUGGAGCUAUGGUCGUUGAUAACAAGAUGGCAGCCAAAAGGAAAUGAUUCGUCGAAAUAUUUUAUUCACCUUAGUUAUUUGUUUUUGUGUUUUAUGAAUACGGAAUUUUAUGGAACAAACUGUAAUAUAAUUUUGCAUUUGCGUUCUACAUUUUUUAUUUCAA